rnacentral:rRNA from 1 species
UUGGGAAUCUUGGACAAUGGGCGAAAGCCUGAUCCAGCCAUGCCGCGUGAGUGAUGAAGGCCUUAGGGUUGUAAAGCUCUUUUACCCGGGAAGAUAAUGACUGUACCGGGAGAAUAAGCCCCGGCUAACUUCGUGCCAGCAGCCGCGGUAAUACGAAGGGGGCUAGCGUUGUUCGGAAUUACUGGGCGUAAAGCGUGCGCAGGCGGUUUCUCAAGUCAGGGGUGAAAGCCCGGAGCUCAACUCCGGAAAUGCCUUUGAAACUGUGAAGCUAGAGUGCGGGAGAGGUGAGUGGAAUUCCCAGUGUAGAGGUGAAAUUCGUAGAUAUUGGGAAGAACACCGGUGGCGAAGGCGGCUCACUGGCCCGUUUCUGACGCUCAUGCACGACAGCGUGGGGAUCAAACAGG